rnacentral:rRNA from 1 species
UACAGAGGGGGCAAGCGUUGUUCGGAAUUACUGGGCGUAAAGGGCGCGUAGGCGGCCUGUUAAGUCGAACGUGAAAUCCCCGGGCUCAACCCGGGAACUGCGUCCGAUACUGGCAGGCUUGAAUCCGGGAGAGGGAUGCGGAAUUCCAGGUGUAGCGGUGAAAUGCGUAGAUAUCAGGAGGAACACCUGCGGUGUAGACGGCUUACUGGACCAUCACUGACGCUGAGGCACGAAAGCGUGGGUAGCAAACAGG